CCUACGGGGGGCAGCAGUGGGGAAUAUUGGACAAUGGGGUGAACCCUGAUCCAGCCAUGCCGCGUGUGUGAAGAAGGCCCUCGGGUUGUAAAGCACUUUCAGUGAGGAAGAACGCCUGGUGGUUAAUACCCAUCAGGAAAGACAUCACUCACAGAAGAAGCACCGGCUAACUCCGUGCCAGCAGCCGCGGUAAUACGGAGGGUGCGAGCGUUAAUCGGAAUUACUGGGCGUAAAGCGCGCGUAGGUGGCUUGAUAAGCCGGUUGUGAAAGCCCCGGGCUCAACCUGGGAACGGCAUCCGGAACUGUCAAGCUAGAGUGCAGGAGAGGAAGGUAGAAUUCCCGGUGUAGCGGUGAAAUGCGUAGAGAUCGGGAGGAAUACCAGUGGCGAAGGCGGCCUUCUGGACUGACACUGACACUGAGGUGCGAAAGCGUGGGUAGCAAACAGGAUUAGAUACCCGAGUAGUC
rnacentral:rRNA from 1 species